rnacentral:pre_miRNA from 1 species
GAAGUACUCCCUCCGUCCGGAAAUACUUGUCAUCAAAAUGAAUGAAAAUAGAUGUAUCUACAACUAAAAUACAUCUAGAUACAUCCAUUUCAAUGACAAGUAUUUUCGGACGGAGGGAGUACUCU